GACGAACGCUGGCGGCGUGCCUAAUACAUGCAAGUCGAACGAGAGCGCCCGGUGCUUGCCCUGGUCAAUCUAGUGGCGAACGGGUGAGUAACACGUGGGUAACCUGCCCAUCAGAGGGGGAUAACAUCCGGAAACGGAUGCUAAAACCGCAUAGGUCUUCGAACCGCAUGGUUUGAAGAGGAAAAGAGGCGCAAGCUUCUGCUGAUGGAUGGACCCGCGGUGCAUUAGCUAGUUGGUGAGGUAACGGCUCACCAAGGCCGUGAUGCAUAGCCGACCUGAGAGGGUGAUCGGACACAUUGGGACUGAGACACGGCCCAAACUCCUACGGGAGGCAGCAGUAGGGAAUCUUCCGCAAUGGACGCAAGUCUGACGGAGCAACGCCGCGUGAGUGAAGAAGGUUUUCGGAUCGUAAAACUCUGUUGUUAGAGAAGAACAAGUGCUAGAGUAACUGUUAGCGCCUUGACGGUAUCUAACCAGAAAGCCACGGCUAACUACGUG
rnacentral:rRNA from 1 species